AAUAACUGACAGGGUGUCUCUCCUAUGUUAAUUGUUAACUCAAAGGACUGCCCUAGGACAUUGAAAAUGCCCCUGCUGUUAACUGUUUAUUGCAGAGGAAGGAGGGGGAGACAUAAUCCUCCCUCUUCAGAUCCCAGAAAGCAUGGAUUGAAAAAAGAAAGCUAAGAAAUGAAUUUUCACAGAGAAAAUGCACACUACCGAUCAAAAAGACCCUAAUACCACCCCUUAUACUUCAUGGCACUUUAAGAAAUUCAGCAUUUUGACCAAGUAAUGGUCCUCUCCUGCUGUUGCACUGAGGAAAAGAAGUGAGAAGCUAAAAGAACCAGAGCAGAAUCAAAGUGGGAAUGAAGAUGAACAGUGAUAACACCAGAGUUGGUUUUCUCUUGCCUCCCUGAGGCAAGUACUGUCCCAGUGUCCCGUGAUGCUGUGAGAUGUGGAACACAACCAAACCCUCCAGCCACUUCAAUUGUAACUGGACAAACAAGCACAGUGAUUUCACCUGUGUUUCUCUAACAGACAUCAUACAUUCAAUAGAGCAUAACUAGAUUCCAAGAGACCUUCUGCUGAUGUCACUAGGACUUUUCUCAGAAGUAAGGACUAAAUAGGAAAACAAGACUGACCCAAGGAGCAAAAGCUGUACAUGAAUUUAAAUAGGAACUGAUGACUAUAAAAUAUGUAGACUUGAGGAAAGACAAAAAAAAGGAAAAAAGAAGGUGGUAGAAUAUGUUUGGAAGCAUACACCAAAUGACAGAAACGUACCACAAUAAAUGAAAGAAGCUUAAGCCUGUUACCAGUAGCAAAAUAGAAAGUGUACUUUCUUUUCUACCAGUCAUGCUAUAGCAACCAAUAAAUCAAAGCAGAUAAAAUGUCAUACAAGGUCUGCACUGAUUUAUUUCUUUGAUUUGUUAUGUUUUAGAAAAUAGCCAUCCACAAAUAAACCCAAAUCAAGUCUGCUGUUGCUCUUCAUCAGCAGGAGGGCGGAAUGUAAGAUUGGGAGUUUUUCAGAUGUUAUUUCCCUGCAAUGCCGGUGGUCUUAGGAUCCUGCCCUCUUUAAACUCUUUGCGCAAGCCAGACCAGCAUAACAGAGACUGGGAAGAAUUAACACCAUUACAAUAGUAAGAGUCCAGAGCAUUAUUGGGUACACCUAAAGAAACGGAUCAUAUUUCUAAGUUACGUUGAAUAAUAAGAAUAUUUCAUGGCAAUGUGUAGAAUCAGUUUAAACAAAAAACACCAGUCACCAUAAAGUUGUCCACAGACUGGAUGAAAAUGUAACACAUAAGAACAUGAAAUUGAGCUAAGCAAAAAAAGCAUAACCAGGACUUUUGAAAACCUUCUUUAAGACCAACAUUUAAUUUACAGAGCACAGAGAUACUGCAUUUAUCUCUUAAUUAUCUGCUUAUGAAAGCUUGAUUCUGCCUGACUUCAGCAUAUGCAAUUCCCACCACUAACAAUGCAGAGCUGUGAGCAUAUACUGAAAGAACAGGCAGUAUUGUAAAUAAAAUAUUGAUAGAAAUGUUCAGCUUUCUAAUCAUUUUCCCCCUCAAGAUACUAAGUUUUAUGAAAUUCUUUAAUUGCCUAUAUUCAUUCUUGGAUAUAUGGCAGGUUUAGGGACUGUAAAAAUAUAAAACUAAGGAAAUUAAACUCUUGAGCAUAAACCAUGUGUGCCAAGGUUGUAAGAAUGAUAUAAAAGAUAACCACUGUGUACAAGUGCCUUACAGUACCACCAUAACUUUUGGGGCCGUCGCUUGCGUUCUAAGUGUGUACUUCUUUCUAGCAGCACAUGCAAGUUAUGCUGAAGCAGCACUGCUUGUUAUGUGCACUAUGUGACU